CUGAAAAGCAUUUGGAAGUCACACCUAGAAGGAUGCUGGCACCUGUGCUGCUACCAUUCUCCACGCCGGCUCAUGAUUCCUUCUCGGCUCAUGACCCACUCUGGAGUCCUUCCAAAUCAGGGAUUGCCAGCAGGUCAAGAUGAGCCCACAAGUAUCUCUGUGAUAGUGAAAGCUAUGAGAACUAAAGGCUAAGCCAUGAGGUGGAUACUCUGCAAAGGUGGUAUUGUGAAGAUCUGUUGCUCUUACAAAUGGCUAUUUAGAAUUGGAAAGAGAAUAAAGCUCUUGCAAGCACAACAGAUACUUUGGGGAAGACACCCUGGGGAAGACAGCCUGCAGUUCCCAUGUAAGAAGAAAUUGCUAUUUCAUCAUAAAUAUGUGAAAACAGGACAACUAAGCCACCUUAACAGCCUUACUACAGGUGUCCAGCAAAGGAAGUUCUCGGCCGUUGAGGGACAAGGAUCAGGAAUCAUGGGAACUUGCAAAGACUUUGCUUUCUCCUCAAGGGGAAGAUUUAACUGAUUUAUAUUUAAACAGUCUCAGAGGGAAGGGGGAACUGUCCACAGAACCUGCGCGGGCAACGUGGCUCCCUGUGAAGGCAUCAGCUAAUAGGAAGAAGGAGUAGAUUCUUGAUGUGGAUUUUAAUGGUCAGGACUUCCAAAUACACUGAACCAUUUCCUAGCUGGCCCUGAAUCCCACCGGUUAUGCCUCCAAAAUUUCUCCAAAAUGAGUCCAAUAGGUAUUCUCCUGAGCACCUCCAGUCAAAACUCACUAGCAAGUCCUUUACUAUGUACUUCCUUCAUCAUAUCUUGAACAAGAAAAAAAUAAAAAAACAAAAAACCCUUCCA
rnacentral:lncRNA from 1 species